UACGUAGGGUGCGAGCGUUGUCCGGAAUUACUGGGCGUAAAGAGCUCGUAGGUGGUUUGUCGCGUUGUUCGUGAAAACUCACAGCUUAACUGUGGGCGUGCGGGCGAUACGGGCAGACUGGAGUACUGCAGGGGAGACUGGAAUUCCUGGUGUAGCGGUGGAAUGCGCAGAUAUCAGGAGGAACACCGAUGGCGAAGGCAGAUCUCUGGGCCGUAACUGACGCUGAGGAGCGAAAGCGUGGGAGCGAACAGG
rnacentral:rRNA from 1 species